rnacentral:misc_RNA from 1 species
UGUGAUAUUAAGAUGAACCUCGAGGUACCUUCUGCGCUCCCACGCAUGCUUCUAAUCUUUUUGUUGCGUGUGUGGUGCAUGGUUUGGCUACUCGUGCUUUGGGAUGUGGAACAUUGUGUUGCUAAGCGAUCUUUUGAUUGCUUUGGCCAAAAAAAAAAUAGUCCAUUGUUGGAACGACUAUCAUGAU